rnacentral:rRNA from 1 species
UCGCCCUUUUCCGGUUGAUCCCGCCGGACCUGACUGCUAUCGGAUUGAUACUAAGCCAUGCGAGUCAUUGUAGCAAUACAAGGCAGACGGCUCAGUAACGCGUAGUCAAUCUACCCUAUGGACGGGAAUAACCUCGGGAAACUGAGAAUAAUGCCCGAUAGAACAUUAUGCCUGGAAUGGUUUAUGUUUCAAAUGAUUUAUCGCCAUAGGAUGGGACUGCGGCCUAUCAGUUUGUUGGUGAGGUAAUGGCCCACCAAGACUAUUACAGGUACGGGCUCUGAGAGGAGUAGCCCGGAGAUGGGUACUGAGACACGGGCCCAGGCCCUAUGGGGCGCAGCAGGCGAGAAAACUUUGCAAUGUGCGAAAGCACGACAAGGUUAAUCCGAGUGGUUUCUGCUAAAGAAACCUUUUGUCAGUCCUAGAAACACUAACGAAUAAGGGGUGGGCAAGUUCUGGUGUCAGCCGCCGCGGUAAAACCAGCACCUCAAGUGGUCAGGAUGAUUAUUGGGCCUAAAGCAUCCGUAGCUCGUUUUGUAAGUUUUCGGUUAAAUCCAUGCGCUUAACGUAUGGGCUGCCGGGAAUACUGCAUAACUAGGAAGUGGGAGAGGUAGACGGUACUCGGGAGGAAGGGGUAAAAUCCUUUGAUCUCUUGAUGACCACCUGUGGCGAAGGCGGUCUACCAGAACACGUUCGACGGUGAGGGA